GAUUAACGCUGGCGGCGUGCAUAACACAUGCAAGUCGAACGAUGAAACUUAAAUGAUUUCUUCGGAAUGAACUUAAGUGGAUUAGUGGCGGACGGGUGAGUAACGCGUGAGUAACCUGCCUUACACAAGGGGAUAGCCGUUGGAAACGACGAAUAAUACCCUAUGAAACUAUCACUUCGCAUGAAGCGAUAGUCAAAGUGUUAGCGGUGUAAGAUGGACUUGCGUCUGAUUAGCUAGUUGGUGAGAAAAAAGCCCACCAAGGCAACGAUCAGUAGCCGGCUUGGGAGAGUGUACGGCAACAUUGGGACUGGGACACGGCCCAGACUCCUACGGGAGGCAGCAGUGGGGAAUUUUGCACAAUGGGGGAAACCCUGAUGCAGCGACGCCGCGUGAUUUAGAAGGCCUUCGGGUUGUAAAAAUCUUUUGUAUAGGAAGAAAAUGACAGUACUAUACGAAUAAGGUCCGGCUAAUUACGUG
rnacentral:rRNA from 1 species